UACGAAGGGGGGCUAGCGUUGUUCGGAUUUACUGGGCGUAAAGCGCACGUAGGCGGUUUGUUAAGUCAGGGGUGAAAUCCCGGAGCUCAACUCCGGAACUGCCCUUGAUACUGGCAAGCUAGAGUCCGGAAGAGGUAAGUGGAACUCCUAGUGUAGAGGUGGAAUUCGUAGAUAUUAGGAAGAACACCAGUGGCGAAGGCGACUCGCUGGACAGUAUUGACGCUGAGGUGCGAAAGCGUGGGGAGCAAACAGGG
rnacentral:rRNA from 1 species